UUCUCUAUGCAGCAUUUAAAACAUCCGUUCCAGCUGAAAUCAAGAGGCUCUAAAUCUGGGUUUUACUAGUAUUUUCUACGGAUAAGAAAACUUCCUAAUGUAAUGUAAAUGUCUGUGGACGUCUGACAGACAUGUGCUAACUUCAGUGUGCACUGGUAUCUAUUUGCUUUUGUAAUAAAAUACAUUUAAUCACAG